GAUGAACGCUGGCGGCGUGCUUAACACAUGCAAGUCGAACGAAGCACCUUGAUUCGAUUCUUCGGAUGAAGAUCUUGGUGACUGAGUGGCGGACGGGUGAGUAACGCGUGGGUAACCUGCCUCAUACAGGGGGAUAACAGUUAGAAAUGACUGCUAAUACCGCAUAAGACCACAGCACCGCAUGGUGCAGGGGUAAAAACUCCGGUGGUAUGAGAUGGACCCGCGUCUGAUUAGGUAGUUGGUGGGGUAACGGCCUACCAAGCCGACGAUCAGUAGCCGACCUGAGAGGGUGACCGGCCACAUUGGGACUGAGACACGGCCCAAACUCCUACGGGAGGCAGCAGUGGGGAAUAUUGCACAAUGGGGGAAACCCUGAUGCAGCGACGCCGCGUGAGCGAUGAAGUAUUUCGGUAUGUAAAGCUCUAUCAGCAGGGAAGAAAAUGACGG
rnacentral:rRNA from 1 species